CCCUUAGAUGUUCUGGGCUGCACGCGCGCUACAAUGGCGUUUUCAAAAAGAUUGCUAAUCCGAAAGGACCAGCGGAUCUUCGAAGUGGCGUUGUGAUCGGGACAGUUGAUUGCAAUUAUUCGACUCGAACGAGGAAUUCCUUGUAAUCGUGCGUCAUCAGCGCACGCUGAAUACGUCCCUGUUCUUUGUACACACCGCCCGUCGCUCCUACCGAUCGAGCGAUCCAAUGAAUGUUUCGGAGCGGAACUGAGAUGCUAAUGCGUCUCUUUUACGCGAAUUUGUGUGAAUUUGAUCGCUUAGAGGAAGGAGAAGUCGUAACA
rnacentral:rRNA from 1 species